CCUACGGGGGGCAGCAGUAGGGAAUAUUGCUCAAUGGGGGAAACCCUGAAGCAGCAACGCCGCGUGGAGGAUGAAGGUUUUCGGAUUGUAAACUCCUUUUGUUAGAGAAGAUAAUGACGGUAUCUAACGAAUAAGCACCGGCUAACUCCGUGCCAGCAGCCGCGGUAAUACGGAGGGUGCAAGCGUUAUUCGGAAUCACUGGGCGUAAAGAGCGCGUAGGCGGGAUAGCAAGUCAGAUGUGAAAUCCUAGGGCUUAACCAUAGAACUGCAUUUGAAACUGUUAUUCUAGAGUAUGGGAGAGGUAGGUGGAAUGCUUGGUGUAGGGGUAAAAUCCGUAGAGAUCAAGAGGAAUACUCAUUGCGAAGGCGACCUGCUAGAACAUAACUGACGCUGAUGCGCGAAAGCGUGGGGAGCAAACAGGAUUAGAUACCCUAGUAGUC
rnacentral:rRNA from 1 species